CCAAUAGCGUAUAUUAAAGUUGUUGCAGUUAAAAAGCUCGUAGUUGAAUUUCGGGAUCAAUAUAUCGGUCGUGCCUUGGUACGUACUGGUAUCAUUGGUUUCUCCUUUCUGACGAACCAUGAUGUCAUUAAUUUGGUGUUAUGGGAAGUUAGGACUGUUACUUUGAAAAAAUUAGAGUGUUUAAAGCAGGCUUUAGCUUGAAUACAUUAGCAUGGAAUAAUGAAAUAGGACGUUUGAUUCUAUUUUGUUGGUUUCUAGGAUCGACGUAAUGAUUAAUAGGGAUAGUUGGGGGCAUUAGUAUUCAAUUGUCAGAGGUGAAAUUCUUGGAUUUAUUGAAGACUAACUACUGCGAAAGCAUUUGCCAAGGAUGUUCUCAUUAAUCAAGAACGAAAGUUAGGGGAUCGAAGACGAUCAGAUACCGUCGUAGUCUUAACCAUAAACUAUGCCGACUAGGGAUCGGAUGAUGUUAAUUUUUUAAUGACUCAUUCGGCGCCUUACG
rnacentral:rRNA from 1 species